CACGACUUGUCAUUUGUGCUACAGCCUGUGCUUGUAUCUCAGGAUUUUUAAGCAUAGAAAGAGUAAACUUACAAUGUCUACCAAAAAGAAGCUUUACAUACCACGAUUUGGUUCGCAGUGUUCACAGGGGUCCGGCUACAGCAUUUCAUUGAAUCCCAGUCAAUCUACCGAACUCGUAUACAAGGAGGUGCCCGACGGCCAAAAAUCGUCAAAGAAAAAUGGGGUCAUUGCCAAUGCACAAGUCAGCCCAACUCUUGGAUUAAGGGCGACGCAAACGGGAGUAAAGAAAACUAAACGGGUUAAUAGAAAGAAACAAUUGUGCCCAGAAACAACUAGCGAAACAUCCAGAGAAAAAGAAACACCUCACAGCUCCUCUGCUUCCUUCGUUUCUGAAGGGAUGUCUGAUAACACAGAAGAGGACAUUUUCAGUUUCAUUGACAGAGACCCCCCUCCGACACCCAAUAAAAAAUCAUUGGCAAAGCAGAGUGUCCUGAGGACCAUUGCAAAGAUGCUGCAAGAGAACAGGCUCAUCAGGAGGAGAUUGGUGACCCUUACCCAGCAAAGGCAAUCAGAGGCGUGAUUGAGGAGAUAUGAGGAACAGACAGCAUCAAAACGGGGUCAAACUCAUUUCCCAUCAAGGGCAACUGGUUGUACACAGUUUUAACCAGCAGAGGGAGUCCUCUACAAAGGUUUUUCUCGGCUUGUGUGAUACUCUGCUCUCUACAGGUUUGUGAGUGUGGUGCUGACAGAGUUGGUGUUAGUGUUGAUUUUUUGCUUUUAGUGUUGUUCUAAGCCAGUGGUUCUCAACCUUUUUCGAACAACCGCCCCCUGGACCUCAUCCUAAACCUCUCGACACCCCCUUGACCUCAUCAUAAUCCUGCCAACACCCCCCUUAGUGUUAAGAUAUUAAAUGGACUAAUGCCCUCAAUGAUAACUAAGCACCGCCCCCUCUCAACUGUAUCCUUCUCCAUGCCCCCCUAGGGCUCCCCAAAGCCCCCGUUUAGGAACACUAUUGUAAGCCCAAGGUUCCUCUUGAUUUCUAUGGGUGUGACAUGCGGAAGGCAGUCUCAGAUUCUGCAAGGUAUCUAAACCCACACGCAAAAGCGUGCACGACUGACAAUGUCUUAC